AACGAACGCUGGCGGCGCGCCUAAUACAUGCAAGUCGAGCGAGAAGACGUAGCAAUACGUUUGUAAAGCGGCGAACGGGUGAGGAAUACAUGGGUAACCUACCCUCGAGUGGGGAAUAACUAGCCGAAAGGUUAGCUAAUACCGCGUACGCUCCUUGGACUUCGGUUCAGGGAGGAAAGCGAUACCGUGGGUAUCGCGCUCUUGGAUGGGCUCAUGUCCUAUCAGCUUGUUGGUGAGGAACGGCUCACCAAGGCUUCGACGGGUAGCUGGUCUGAGAGGACGAUCAGCCACACUGGCACUGCGACACGGGCCAGACUCUACGGGAGGCAGCAGUAAGGAAUAUUGCGCAAUGGGCGAAAGCCUGACGCAGCGACGCCGCGUGGGGGA
rnacentral:rRNA from 1 species